GUGGGGAAUCUUCCGCAAUGGACGAAAGUCUGACGGAGCAACGCCGCGUGAGUGAUGAAGGUCUUCGGAUUGUAAAGCUCUGUUAAUCGGGACGAAAGAGCCUAGUGUGAAUAAUGCUAGGAAGUGACGGUACCGGAAUAGAAAGCCACGGCUAACUACGUGCCAGCAGCCGCGGUAAUACGUAGGUGGCAAGCGUUGUCCGGAAUUAUUGGGCGUAAAGCGCGCGCAGGCGGAUCUGCCAGUCUGUCUUAAAAGUUCGGGGCUUAACCCCGUGAUGGGAUGGAAACUACAUAUCUAGAGUAUCGGAGAGCAAAGUGGAAUUCCUAGUGUAGCGGUGAAAUGCGUAGAUAUUAGGAAGAACACCAGUGGCGAAGGCGACUUUCUGGACGAAAACUGACGCUGAGGCGCGAAAGCCAGGGGAGCGAACGGGAUUAGAAACCCGGGUAGUCC
rnacentral:rRNA from 1 species